AUCUAGAUCGGGAGGGAGAGGGCAAGAUGGCGAGCGCGUCUCUACUCUCCCAUGCUCACCUCAGCUGCCUUCGCCGCCUCGAUAGCACCACCCACCGCCACCACAGGUUCCAACGUAUCAGCAGAGCAACCUUCUCCACCACGCCGAGUCCCCGCUGGAACGGUCUCCGAUGCCUUGCUCUCCCAGAUGACGAAACAGGCCUGCAGCCGCAACAGCCGCCGCCGGGUGCCGUCGGGGCUGCCCUGGAGGAAAAACCCAAAGAUAGCUUACAAGAAGAGAACUCACCAAAUGUUGGCCAGAAUAGUGAAAGAUCUAUAUAUAAUUUUCUUAAUCCUAGCAAAGAGCUUCUCCCUGAUGAUAAAGAGAUGAGUAUCUUUGACCAUCUAG
rnacentral:misc_RNA from 1 species